rnacentral:lncRNA from 1 species
UUAUCGUGUAUCGUGUUACCCACGUGUAUACCCGAACCAACCCGUUACUUGUUAAUUUCGUGUCGUGUCGUGUCGGAUUAUCGGAUCGUUUCAGGAAUUGCCAGGCCUAGUGCAAAGACAUGCAUAAAAACGUGUCAUUUUCGAUCAAUGUAAUUACGUGACAUUCGUUUCCACACGUGUCAACUGGAAACUUGAAAACUCCGGAAGCUUCAUUUGGCCCUCCACAUCUUCUGGAACUUGAACCACAUCCUCAGCGUUUGUGUCGCUGUUGCAGGAAGACAAGCGCAGCAGGCAGGUAUGAGAUCUAACUCUAAUCUUAACUAGUAUGUCUACUGUAUCAGUUUGUUGGGUUACUUUGGUUAACUGAUCACAAAAACAAACUUUAAUAUUUUUCACCGAUCAAUCCGAAGUUUUCCAUAAUUUUCACUCAACUGUAAGUUCUUCGAGUCACUGGGACGUGUCUAAUUUUAUUAUGCUUUUAGUGUUUAUUGUUCAGUUAUUAACCCGUUGAACUGGGUAUGUACAAUCAAGGUUCACUUUCUUUUAGUUACACUUUGCAGUCAAAAUAUUAGGCCAAAAAAAAAAAAUUGCAGUAAAACUGAACUAGGGGCUGUCGGAAUAUUAGAUCUAUUCCUU